rnacentral:rRNA from 1 species
UACGUAGGGGGCAAGCGUUGUCCGGAUUUAUUGGGCGUAAAGAGCGUGUAGGCGGCCAUACAGGUCCGUUGUGAAAGCUGGCGGCUUAACUGCCAGACGCCACCUCAUACGGCACGGCUCGAGCCCGUGAGAGGUCCACGGAAUUGCCGGUGUAGUGGUGAAAUGCGUAGAGAUCGGCAGGAACACCCAGGGGGAAACCAGUGGACUGGCACGGUGCUGACGCUCAGGUGCGAAAGCGUGGGGAGCGAACCGG